UGCUCAAUCACUGCUUCAAGCUGUGACUCAGCGUUUCCUCUACACUCCUCCAUUCAUUAUUUUCAAGUUUCUGUUUCAUGGAGAAUAUUGGAGGAAAAAAGGUCAUUUUUAAUUGACAAAAAAUUAUUUCUCCUGCUUCCAUUCUUAAAUCAAAGAUCUGCUGUGACAGCUAGGUUCACACGUGGCUCAGUCUGAUAUAUCUGAGAGCUGUUCCUGCCCAUCAGUAGUGGGUUUCUCCUGGGGUCCUGCUUGUGAUACAGCUGUGAUCCAACAUCAGUAAGCAUAAGGUAGUCUGUUGCUAUGUUCGGUGACUUGUUGGUCGGCGUGUCUUCAUGUUAUUGCCUCAUCCUUGAGCUGAUAAUGUGAAGACAUAUCAAGAGCCACUGGUGGUUGCAUGGUAGAACUUCCAGAUUUCUCUUCCUGCCACUGUAGCCUAGAGAUGCAGGAGCACUGUAGAAGUUGUAUUUCUACAUUGGUUACAUCACUCAAUGAAAGGAGACUUUGCAAAUAUAUCAGCACAUCUUAAGAAGGGCAGCACAGUGUGCUGGCUUCGGCUUCUCACCUUGAGUAACUUCAAACUACUGAAUUCCAGGGGGAAGUAAAGAAAGGUGCAAGUGUGUGUGAGAAAGAGCAAGAGUGAGCCUUUUAAGUAGGAGAAGAUAAUGCAGCUUUCAAAUCACUUCUCCUGCAAGUGAAAAUUACCUCGUGGUGUAGACAAAUACUGGCCCUGCCUGUUUCCCUCUAGGGACUUUAUCACUGUCCAUCAUUACAAUCUCUACAGCCCGGGUUUUGGGAAAGAUAAGAUUAUUGAAAACCCAAGGCAAAACACUCUUGAAAAAUGGCUUUUUACAAUAAACAAGAAAGGCAGCCUCAUGCAGAGGAGAGGCUGUGCACUGAGGAUGACAGCCGUUCCCAUGACAACGCCAAAAACCUUUCACCAUUGGGUAUCAACAGGAGAACAUCUCCCACGGCAAGCGCAGGAAGCCAGGAGCCUGCUUAGUCCUCGUCUCAUAAAUCAUCCUGAUGGACAGCACUGAUCAGCACUGCCAGUUGUGCACGUGCAGCUCACCUCCCAGGAACCACCUGCCUUCGGAUGAAAGGAAGACCAAAUAAACUUAAAGCUCCAGAGCUGGCUGUAUGUAAAAGGAAAAUUAAGCUCUGCUAGUGGUACAAGAUUUCCCUCUGUUCUCUAGCUGAGAAAUCACAAUUUUUAAUGAUGAAAAACCAAGCAAAAAUCCAGGACAUCUUAAAACCAUUAAAGAGGACCACUGAAGAAGCCAUGUGGUUUUGCUCAGCUGCAGAGAAAUCUCUCAUUGACUUGGGAUGGAGAGACAAGGGCAGCUUGGGAGAAUUUUGCUAUAUUUCAUGCUGAUCCUGUAGUGUUCAGAGGAAGUUUUUCUCAAGUCCUCUCCAGCCACAACAUUGGUUGCUUGGUGAUGGUGUUGAUACUGCAAGCGUAGGAGUAGAGAGUCCCCAGCUGUGGCAGGGCUGAGAUCUGCACCCUGAGCCCCAGUUAAGCUCCUGGCUCCUGCAUACCUCUGAGGCUGCAGCGUUUCUACUCCCCCCUUCAUCACUUCAGUGUCAAAGGUGGGUUCCAAACUUUGUCAUCUUUACAAAGGGCUCAGAGACCCCCAGCAAGCUGCUCUGGAUGCAGGCAACAAGGCUUGUUUCAUCCUGCCUAUGCGACGUGCCAUCUCCUCCAGUCAUCUCCACUAAUCUCAUUAAAGCUCUGUUUUUAUGAGUUGGAGAUUUGUAAUUUUGGUGUUGUUGUUGCUGCUAGUGUUGGAGCUCUGCAUCAGAGCUCAUUCUUGUAAUUAAUGUGACAGAUCUUGAACUAGUACGUCAAAACAGCACGGUUGAGGCAGAAAAGCACUGGAAAGAUCAUCUUUAAUCAAACAGCAGUGAUUCACAUUUAACCGGGUAGAUGGGAAGUCCUCUACCUCGCUGGCUCUGAGCGAGGCUUCCCUAAGGACACGGUCUUAAAAGUUUUGCUCAGCUUCCUGGGCUCCACCACUUGGGCUUUUUGAUGGAAACUCUUUAAAAUGCCAUUUCUGUCAGCGUGUCAGAGCUGUAGCUGGGAAGCUCUGAACACUAGCAAUUCUUUUCAUACUUAUUUUCUAGAAGCUGUACAAAAAAGAGAAAUGUAAGGGAGACAAUCUUGAUUUGAAGCUCCCGAAGCCAAACUGUCAGUUGGGUGGAAAUCCUUUGUUUCGGGAGUCCCAGCCCUUUGUUCCCCAGACUCCCUCCAUCUUUCUGCAAAGGCUUUGUGAAUACUAAUGGAAAACACGCACAUCCCCAUGCCUCCAGCUGGGCCUGAGUAACUGGGAGCUUUGAGGCAGACGUGUGGGAACUGGGAGUAUGUUCACUGGUCAGUUACAAUGCCUUCUGACACUGCACAGUUCUAUCACUUAGAGGCAUCCAGUGCUUGGGAAGGCUUUGAAAUUUGCCAAGCUAAUAACAGCCCUCUCCAGAGUUCUGGCAUGCAGGUUACCAGAACCUCAGAUUAAUGGCAGUAUUCUUAUAUUGCCAUAAAUAAACUUUCAUUCUUG
ensembl:lncRNA